AGGUUAAAAAAGCUACCUCUUUCCCAAUUUGCUGAAGAUUUUUUUGCUAUCCCUUGAAGUGGAGCCAAGAGAUGAAAAACAGAGGGAAAAAAGAUACAAUAAAUACACAUAGUAUCACUUCUGCAGUAUCCAGCCAAAGAUGUAUAACCUGAAUCUACUUACUAGGAAACAUCGGAUUAAACUCCAUUUGAAGAAUACUCUUCAAAACAAUUGGCCUCUAACCUUCAAAAGUAUCAAGGUCAUUAAAUUUAAGGAAGGACUCUGGGCCUGUUCCAUCUUGAGGAUGACUAGAGACAUGACAAUUCAGUCAGUUGCAGUAACAAGAUAGGUCAAUGAUUGCAUGCAGAGGGGACCUGUGACCUGGUCUGUCAGUGGUGGCUCAAACAGAGAAACAGGACCACUAAGAACAUAUCAAAUAAGGGAUGGGCUACAAGAAUUAAACCUUACAGAACUGUGAAAGAAAUAAGGUCCAGAAAGGAGAGUUACAGGAUCAGAAAAAAAUGUUACUGAUCAGCCUCCAGAAGAAUUCCAGCGUUCAGUCUAAAAGAAUGUCACAGAAAUUAGAAGUUGGUCCUAGAGAUUUGGUAAAUAACAUCUAUAAACUGAAAUAGGUACCUGUCUGGAGAUGUCUCUCCCUGUGCACUAGGUGAAACCUCAAACCAGAGUGGAGAGAGUUCUUGACUCUGCUAGGGAAAGAAUUCACAAACAGGUAGGAUGAGUGUAGGUAAGGAAGGAAUUCAUUAAGCUAGG